AAAUAGGAGGGUGAUCUGGCUACAAUAUGUCACUAUGUUUAUAACCAGGAUUGCUUGGCUUAUCAGGUUGGCUGGGCAAGUGUUCUCCUCUUCCUCUCUCAUUGUUCAAUGUGCUUCCCUUCUGAAGCUAAAUACUGAGUCAAAAAUGUCCUUUCCCAAUAGGAGGACCUUUUUUUUAAGAGAGAGAGAAAGAAAAUUGGCAUGCCAGGGCCUCUACCACUGAAGUCGAACUCCAGACACUUGUGUCACCUAGUGCGCAUGUGCGACUUUGCACUUACAUUACCU
rnacentral:sRNA from 1 species